rnacentral:rRNA from 1 species
AGCUCCAAUAGCGUAUAUUAAAGUUGUUGCAGUUAAAAAGCUCGUAGUUGGAUUUCUGGGCUGGACUGGGGGUCCACCGCAAGGUGCGUACUGCCGGGCCGGUUCAUCCUCUCGAAGACUGCGUGUGCUCUUAACUGAGUGUGCGGAGGAUUCGGGACCUUUACUUUGAAAAAAUUAGAGUGUUCAAAGCAGGCCUACGCUUGAAUACAUUAGCAUGGAAUAAUGGAAUAGGACUUUGGUUCUAUUUUGUUGGUUUCUAGGACUGAAGUAAUGAUUAAUAGGGAUAGUUGGGGGCAUUAGUAUUUAAUUGUCAGAGGUGAAAUUCUUAGAUUUAUGAAAGACUAACUACUGCGAAAGCAUUUGCCAAGGAUGUUUUCA